rnacentral:lncRNA from 1 species
AUGGACAGGCAACUUUCAGCAUGGUGUUUCUUCUCUAAGAAGCCUCCCAACUGCACGGAGAAAUUCAAGGCUUUCCGGGGAAUGCGGCUUCUGAAAACACGACAAAAUCCCAAGGAAGGGUUGAAGCUACAGCUGCAGAAACCGCGACCAUCAUUGCUGCCUGGGUGGCUUGAGGCAGGUGCUGACCCUGCCUGGGCCGUCGGAUGGGGAUACUGAGUCCCACCCUGCAAGGCUGCUGUCAGGGAGUCACGAUAACCGCGUGGACUGCUCGGCAGCUCCUCGCCGGCCUCCGCGUUCCCAGUGAACCUCUUGCCCGUGGGAGGAGAGUCUGGCGGUGUGACCUUGGCUCAGUCGUCUACCCUGUUGUGACCUUGAGUGUCAUGCUGAGGUGCUGGGGCCUGGUCUGAAGGAACUAGGGAGCCAUGGAAAGAUUUUAAGCAGGGAGGUGAUAUUCAGGUCUGCAUUAUUCCCUUUCCUCUGGGGGCGUCUUUUGUGGUGCAAAACCACAUAAAUGGAAAGAACUCUUGUUUUGGAGUCAGGGAGACCUUGGGCUCUCAUGAUGCUGUCCGCCCUCCCCCCCGCCCCCUCCCCCACCCAGCUGGGUGACCUUGGGCAGGUCCUUCCAAUGGUGGGGGGGAUCUUAAACUGCAGCUGAGUCAGAAGGUCGGGGCAAGGCCAAAGAUUUUACAUUUCUCACCAAUUUUCCAUUUCCUCUACAACAAGACCCAUUUCCCUGGGUGCCCGCAGGCCACGAACGAAUGACGCCCACCCUUUUCCUGGGCCGCGGCCCACACUUUGAGUAGCGAGGCUUUGAGUCUCCGAGCCUCAGUUUCCCCACUUGUAAAAUGGCGUUGAUCAAACCCGGCUCACGGGGCGGUGAGGGGCAGGGAUGAGGCCCCCGUGGCCCCCGCAGCGCGAAGUGUGCCCAGCCCUCCUCGCCCCUGCUCCCUGCCUCACAUUACCGCCCAGUCUCGGGAUUCUGCAGCUCUGUUCUCGCUCAGCAUCCCGACCAGCUCAUUUCUGCUCCCCACUCUUUUUUAAUCGGUGUUGCUCUGGAAGCUUGCUUGGCACGGGGCUCACCUUUCAAAUGCCCUAGAAUCCUUCUUUUGGCUUCUCUCUCUCUUCUAUUUAAAUUCAAGCCUCACAAGGCUCGCCCCAGGCUCCUACCACCCUGGUGCCAUUAGGAGAUUAAAAUUUUGCAGCACCUGCCUCUGCU